GUUUGUCCCACUCUGGUUUGCCUUAUUGGGAUUCAGGAAGUUGGUGGGCGAAGCCUGCCCACUGCUAAAGGAUACCCCCCCCCCGCCUAAGAGGGAGGUCCACAGGAUCUGGAAAACCAAGUAAUUCCAGGGGACAACUAAUGAAAUAACAGGGAUAGGAGUGUGGUCAAAGGAUCAAACGAAGGGAACCGGACGGGGACACCGAGCAGAGAACCCCGGAC